GAUGACGCGGAGGAUCAUUACCGAGUUUAUACAACUCAUCAACCCUGUGGAAAUUAAAACUUUCAACAACGGAUCUCUUGGCUCUGGCAUCGAUGAAGAACGCAGCGAAAUGCGAUAAGUAAUGUGAAUUGCAGAAUUCAGUGAAUCAUCGAAUCUUUGAACGCACAUUGCGCCCGCCAGUAUUCUGGCGGGCAUGCCUGUUCGAGCGUCAUUACAACCCUCAGGCCCCCGGGCCUGGCGUUGGGGAUCGGCGGAAGCCCCCUGCGGGCACAACGCCGUCCCCCAAAUACAGUGGCGGUCCCGCCGCAGCUUCCAUUGCGUAGUAGCUAACACCUCGCAACUGGAGAGCGGCGCGGCCACGCCGUAAAACACCCAACUUCUGAAUGUUGACCUCGAAUCAGGUAGGAAUACCCGCUGAACUUAAGCAUAUCAAUAAGCGGAGGAAAAGAAACCAACAGGGAUUGCCCCAGUAACGGCGAGUGAAGCGGCAACAGCUCAAAUUUGAAAUCUGGCUCUCGGGCCCGAGUUGUAAUUUGUAGAGGAUGCUUUUGGUGAGGUGCCUUCCGAGUUCCCUGGAACGGGACGCCAUGGAGGGUGAGAGCCCCGUCUGGUUGGACACCGAUCCUCUGUAAAGCUCCUUCGACGAGUCGAGUAGUUUGGGAAUGCUGCUCUAAAUGGGAGGUAUAUGUCUUCUAAAGCUAAAUACCGGCCAGAGACCGAUAGCGCACAAGUAGAGUGAUCGAAAGAUGAAAAGAACUUUGAAAAGAGAGUUAAAAAGUACGUGAAAUUGUUGAAAGGGAAGCGCUUGUGACCAGACUUGGGCUUGGUUGAUCAUCCGGGGUUCUCCCCGGUGCACUCUUCCGGCUCAGGCCAGCAUCAGUUCGCCCUGGGGGGAUAAAGGCUUCGGGAAUGUGGCUCUCUCCCGGGGAGUGUUAUAGCCCGCUGCGUAAUACCCUGUGGCGGAAUGAGGUUCGCGCAUUCCCAAGGAUGCUGGCGUAAUG
rnacentral:rRNA from 1 species